ensembl:lncRNA
CUACCAGUUGGUACAGUCCACUUGGUAGGCUGGUAGGUUGAUACAUCUCAUAGUUUGCUUGUGACGUCACUAUAACAAUUUGAAGUAGCUUGGCAUGUCAACAUCACACAUCGGUGGUAAAAGAAGCACUUAUAAUCAGAUUCGACAAACCCUAGAGGAGAUCUGUUUGUUUAUUUCGCCUUGUAUCAAAUCGAUGUCCUAACAUUAUUUCGACCUGCUCCAAAACCACCCACUUUUCGUUGAAAUAUCUUGUUCUUUUAGUUAAUUAUUUCGAGUUGCUAAGUGUUGAUUUUGGUGUUAUUUUAACACUUGCAGUGCUAAAAUAGCUCUGUGGGUGGUGUUGUUGAAGAGUUUUAAUGCCCUCUUACUCAGGGUUAAUUCCGUAUCCGGUUUUAACGCGCUCUUUUUCUUGAACUCGAGUUUGGUAGAGAAAGCCCAGCAUCUGGAAGGGUGAUAUAACUUACACAAUUUGGAAAGUGACCACCUUUACCCAUGAGGAGUGGGAGGCCAUUGAAGAGGCAUGCGAGGUGCUGCAGCCAUAUGAAGAGGUGACAGUGGAGAAGGCUAGGUGACUGCCUCCAAAAUAAUUAUUUUGGCACGGGGUCUGCAGAGGGUCAUUGCAAACCACCUGAGGACCGGCCGCUUCAAGCGGCCUUUGGUGGUGUCCCUUAUAACCGCACUCAACGCUGAGAUGGCCAAGCGUUUCCACAGGAUUGAGUUCAACUCCUUGCUGUGGGAAUCCUCCAUCCUUGACCCCAGAUUCAAGAGGAAGACCUCCUCUGAUGACCAGGCAGCCACCGAGGCCUUCCAAAGGCUCACAACUGCUGCAGCACAGGCGACCACCUCCAAUCCAUCCCAGCAGGAAGCUCUGGUGGAACAAGGAGCUGCGGGGGGACAACCAUCAGAGGAGAGCCUGAUCUGGGGUGACUUCGACGUGCAGGUCUCGGGGCUCGUCGGUCACAUUAGUGCAGGUGCGGAAGCGUCCCUCGAGAUCCGGUCCUUCCUGCAAGAGGCACUGAUCCCUAGGUCCUCUAACCCUCUGACCUGGUGGAAAAGUCGAUCGGUGAUCUAUCCGAGGCUCACUCAGCUAAUGAUGGAGAGAUUGUGUGUGGUCGCCACGUCAGUGCCAUCUGAACGAGUGUUCAGUAAGAUGGGGCUGAUUAUUUCAGUCUCCCUCCAAGGCGCAGCAAGUCACGUUCCUGAAUGCGAACCUGAAGUGAACAUUCAGGCUUCUUCAGUUCCCAGAGGUUCUUGGGUUUUCUUUCUGCCAUCACGGUUGGUCAAAGGACAAAAAUGUUUGUUAAAUGGCAAUGUUCGGUUUUGUUCCCUACCCCUGAGGUUGGACACUGGGUUACAGCGGCCCUCACAAAUCCGAUGCCGAACAUGAAUGUUAACAUUGAAGAUUUUGGAUGCACUACCUGUAUGUAGAGGGCAAAGUCUUUUAGAAAAGGAAAACAGGCAUCUGGUUAUGGCAGAUUUCACCAAAGCCUGACUGAUGAACAAAAGGCUGCAAUGGACAGAAUGGAGCGAACACAGAGACUGAAUGAAGAGCGUGAGGAGAGGGUCAUGUCUGGAUUUUUGGAAGAAAGUGCUCGUUCGACCGAGCGUUUGGUAGGGCAGCUAUUUGAGGGCCUCAAGUCUUUUUAAAUUUAAUACAAUCUAAAUCUAUAUAUAUAUCUAUAUAUACAUACAAUUUGAUAUGGGGUACAUUAAAAAAAUAUAUAUAUUAAAGUUCCCCAUCAAUGAAUAAACAAAUUAAUAAGGUGAACAGACAUUGAUGUGAAAAUAUUGUUAUUGUUAUUUAUUAAAUAUUUGUUCCACCAUUAUGUUCCCUUAACCAUACGUGUUUAAAUGAAUAGAGAUGACCCCUGCGAAGGGGAAAGUGAGUGGCCAUAUAUCCUGUAACCACGGCCCUUUCGUGGUCACCAUGUUCAUUAAUAUUUGCUGGCAGGCUGAGUGAAUUGGAAGUCACUACGUUUCAACAGAACACGCCAUCUUGCCUUUAGAAUUCCAAAGGUAUUUUCCACCCCAACCCGGAACGAACUUGGAUAAACAUUGAAAGAUUCCUGCUCUGGAGAUAGUAGUGGGGAGCUGAGAUGUCCUUUAACCAGCCACGGAAGGAGCGGAUAUGCAGGAUCCCCAACAACGACUAGCCUGAUGCUCUCUCCCUCGAUGAUUUUAUCACCCUAAAAUAGAAAGACAGAAGUAAAACAUUAAUUAAUGCCACGGUAUUUCACAGACAAGUAGUCGUAUAAAAUGCUGGUUAAACCCAAAGAAAGUCUCAAGUCGAGCUGCAGGUGGUCAUCGCACCACUGGGGUUGCUUUGACCCCUUUUGGGGUCUGUUUCUCAUGGACUAUGGCCUACUAGGCCUUUGUGUUUAUGUCAAAAGAAAGACGAAUGUUAAUGUGCCAAAGUAAAUCCAGACACUCCUGAAUGAAUUAAACAUAGGACCUUAAUUUAAUUGACCUUAAUUGACCUUCUGACUAGCCCUGCUAGUGGACUCACCUUAGGCAGUAGAUGGGCUUUUUGGAAGAGAUCCGAGUUACGGAGAACACUGGCGUCGUGUGCGCUACCGGGCAUCUUGCAGCUGAUGUUCCAGAACCCGGAAACAAGCCAAGUUGGCCUAAUUUGAUUUGACAAGAGGUAUUCCAUGAGUGCUGAUAUACAGUAUAACAGCACUGGGACAUUUAACUAUUUUGCAGGUGUACCGUUUGCAGGGGUUCUAAUAACCGUUAAUGUUAUUUACGGUCUUUAUGUAGCUUACUUUGUAACAAACUUAUAUUUGUGUUGGAAGAGCCAAAUAAAUCAUUAAAUAAAAAAAAAAA